AUGGAAAAAUAUAGCCAACAAGUAGAACUAUGCAUCGUCAUAGCCAUAGCAUGUGUGGACCCUGCUAUGGAGAAAAGACCUACAGCAAAGGAUAUAAUCCAAGUGCUUAGUGCAGCAGACUGGGUAUGGGUGUUGGCCUGCUGCGUACCCGUCUGGGUGUUGGCAAAAAAGGAAAGAAAAGAAAAAGAGGAUGAAAACAAAAAAAAGGCAGAAAAGAAGAACAAAAAAGGCAAAAAAAAACAUAGUAUAGCAAAGAAAACCAAGAAAGAAAUUAGAAAACCAAAGAGAGAGAAAAGAAAACAAAAAACAAGAUAA
rnacentral:rRNA from 1 species